rnacentral:rRNA from 1 species
AGUGAACGCUGGCGGUAGGCCUAAUACAUGCAAGUCGAACGGCAGCACAGUAAGAGUUUGCUCUUACGGGUGGCGAGUGGCGGAUGGGUGAGGUAUACAUAGGCAUCUUCUUUUUCGUGGGGGACAUCGUAGGGCAACUUCCGAUACUACAGAAUAUGUCCUACGGGUGAGAGCAGGGGAUCUUGGGACUUUGCGUGUUUGAUUGAGCCGAUGUCGGAUUAGCUAGUUGGCGGGGUAAGGGCCCGCCAAGGCGAGGAACCGUAGCUGGUCUGAGCGGAUGAUCAGCCACACUGGAACUUAGACACGGGCCAGACUCCUACGGGAAGCAGCAGUUGGGAAUAUUUGACAAAGGGCGCAAGGCUGAUCCAACCAAACCGCGGGGAGUAAGAAGGCCUUCGGGUUGGAAAACCCUUGUGUUGGGAAAGAAAAGCAGCAGGAUAAUACCCCGCUGUUCUGACGGUACCCAAAGAAUAAGCACCGGCUAACUUCGUG